rnacentral:rRNA from 1 species
GACGAACGCUGGCGGCGUGCCUAAUACAUGCAAGUUGAGCGCUGAAGGUUGGUACUUGUACCAACUGGAUGAGCAGCGAACGGGUGAGUAACGCGUGGGGAAUCUGCCUUUGAGCGGGGGACAACAUUUGGAAACGAAUGCUAAUACCGCAUAAAAACUUUAAACACAAGUUUUAAGUUUGAAAGAUGCAAUUGCAUCACUCAAAGAUGAUCCCGCGUUGUAUUAGCUAGUUGGUGAGGUAAAGGCUCACCAAGGCGAUGAUACAUAGCCGACCUGGGAGGGUGAUCGGCCACAUUGGGACUGAGACACGGCCCAAACUCCUACGGGAGGCAGCAGUAGGGAAUCUUCGGCAAUGGACGAAAGUCUGACCGAGCAACGCCGCGGGAGUGAAGAAGGUUUUCGGAUCGUAAAACUCUGUUGGUAGAGAAGAACGUUGGUGAGAGUGGAAAGCUCAUCAAGUGACGGUAACUACCCAGAAAGGGACGGCUAACUACGUG